rnacentral:lncRNA from 1 species
GAGGGCAUAGACAUGUCUGUGGAAGGAGAGCCCUGUUUAGGCUUACCAACAGAACACAGCAGCAGUUUUGCUGUUGCCCAGACAAAGGACAGCUGUGUCACAUAAUCACCUUGAAUGGCUUAAUUGGUGAGCAGACCUCUGUAUCAGGUGCAUUCCUCAGUCAGCAUGGCUAGCUUUCAUUAAAGAGCUCUUUUAGCAGAUGUUGAACCAGCUUGACUGAUGCCACAGUAUGCUUUCGUAGGUUCUGGUUCCAGGAAAUGAACAACAUGGUGUGCUGCAUUUCGUAUAUCUAUGAUUUUGUGAGGAGGAGAGACAAGAAAUGUAGAACUGGGUGCUGUUGGUGAGCUCUGCACUGAGUUAUCUGAUACUAAUCAUUUCACUCUGAAUAGCCUCAGUUUACAUUUCUGUAAUUGAAAGAUCUAGCUGGUGAUCUGCUGGGGUAGGAGAUACAAAAUAAUUGGAAAGAAUGAAAAGAAAUUGCACUGUUAUUUGCAGUCUACGUUCUUGGAAAUGAUCAUUUAUUCUGCACACCAUAUGUACACCUCACAUAAUCUAGUCUUUUCUGUACCUGUAUUCUGUAUCCCACUUUUAAGCCUUCCCCAAUCCUUUUAUCUCUGAGGUGCAUACUUAAAGGCAUUCUUGCCCUUAAUUAACUAAGCAAUUAAAAAUCUAUUUAAAAAAACCCACAAACAUUAAUGUGCUGCAUUAAACUUGCCUACUUUUUUCCUAUUGUAGCAGUGGGUAAUAAACAGUAAUCUGCAGGUGUCUUAGAUGUCUGACUGAGACAUUUCAUCUCUAAAUUAAUAUUUGAAGUGGCAGAUACUCAAUCCAGUAUAAUAAUUCAUCAAUGACACUGUGAAACAUAUUCCAGCUUCAUCUUUAGCAUUAAGUCUUUUUUUUUUUUUUUACCUUUCCCUUAAGCUCACUGUUGAGAUGUAUUCCUUGAGUCAAUAUAUAUAUAUAUUUUUGUAACAUCAAAAACGUUGAAUUGAUUAGGAGGGUUUAUCUUGGAUUCAAGGACCGUAUUAUCUCAAUUAGUUUUUAGUGGCAAACUUAAGCAAACUAGAUAAUGCUUCUGUUCCUCACCUAUCUAAAAUUAGAGAUAAGAGUAUUUUGCUGAGAUAAACAAACAAACAAACAAACAAAAGAAAAAACAAACAAAAAAAACCUCACCAAAAACAGUAGUAAGUUGGGUCAGGUAGUUAUUAAAGAAUAGGUAUUAGAAAAAGAAGUGAAAAUACCAACUUGAGUUUCAACUACCAAAAAAAAAAAAAAAAAAAAAAAAAGCCUGGUGAAGGUUGUGUCAGAUUGCCUGUAGUGUAGAAUCUUGUUCUUCUGGAGCUACUGGAACUAAUUCUUCCCUUAUACCAAUUCUACAUUGUCCAGCAGUGUGGCAGCCUGUGAUAAGAGACUCUUCCACAUUCAGGAAAUAAGAAUAGCAGCUGAGCGAAGGAUGUUGCUGAAGACUUAAGCUCUUAAAAGUCAAAAUAUGUAAGUUAAGUCAGACCCCCAACUUUAUUUAAAUGUAGUUUAUAUUGAAUUAUAAUCAUCAUCCUACUUACCUCCCAUCUGCUAAGCUGCUUAGAAAAUAAACAGUAUGUACUGCCUAAGCAUAUGCAUGGAAAAUAAACUGUCAAAGAGCCAUUACAGGAUUAUUCUUUUGUUGUAGCUGUCAUUGGAUGAGAUGAGCUGCUCCUUGUACGCUUGCUAAAUUAUAUGACUUUUUUCUAAACUCCUUGCUUUACAUGCCAAGGUGUCCCUGCUCACUUGUUUUAUAUAACAUAUUAUUGAAAUGAAAUGGAGAAGCUUGAUUCUGCAGCAUUCAUUUCUGCCUGCUAUGUGGCUAAGUAACUUCUGCUUCAGAAGUCUCAUCAUUUCUGUGCCCUAACAACUGGAUUUACAUAUUGCGUGACUGGGAUAUCUUGGAAUGGGAGGCAAGCAACUACUUAAAAACAAACAAACCUGGUGCCUGCCUCUUUUCAUUUAGACUUAAGUCUCUGAUACACUCAUCAGAUAUUUCGGUCCAUGCCACUCUGAUCAGAACCCCCUAUUUGUUAUCUUAACCCUAAGGGGUUUCUGGUUGAGAUUUCUGGGUAAGAGUAGGUGUUUUCAUUUUAUGUUGUCUUAUCCUUCACAACUUGUUUUCAAAAGUAAAGAUAUUUUUCCCCUUCGUGAUUGCUUUGAGGUUUUUUUUUUUUUUUUCCACAGAAAAAUAUCCAGAGAGCAUACAUUAAUAAUGAAAGAAUUUAUGUCAGAUAUUUUUUUCUCUGUUUUCCUUUACAAAAGAGUGGUAUUUUGUAGUGAUUAAUACUAUGUACUGUUCCCAGAAGAAGGCUAAAUGAGUUUUCUGUAAUUAAUGAAGAAGUGAAAAACACUGCAGAAAGAGGUAUUCUAUCUGUUAGCCAAAAUAUUCUUUUUGGACUAUGUAAAGGCAUGGAUUUGAGGGCAUGAGACCACAUAGAGAUCAAACCUGACAAAUAUCAGAACAACAACAAAAAAAAGCUACAGAUAGCAAGAA